rnacentral:rRNA from 1 species
UACGAAGGGGGCUAGCGUUGUUCGGAAUUACUGGGAGUAAAGCGCACGCAGGCGGAUUUAUAAGUCAGGGGUGAAAUCCCGGGGCUCAACCUCGGAAUUGCCCUUGAUACUGUCUAUCUUGAGUCCGGGAGAGGUGAGUGGAAUUCCCAGUGUAGAGGUGAAAUUCGUAGAUAUUAGGAAGAACACCAGUGGCGAAGGCGGCUCACUGGCCCGGUACUGACGCUCAUGUGCGAAAGCGUGGGGAGCAAACAGG